GAACAAAACCUGAUGUCGUCACCUACAAUACUAUCUUGCAAGGUCUUUUUAAAGUUGGAAAAAUAGUCCAUGCUAGAAAAUUCUUUGCUGAGAUGCUAUCUGCAGGGUUCAUACCUGAUUUUUACACUCAUGGCAUUGUGAUCAAUGGUUAUUUUAAGAAUGGACUUGUUGAAGAGGCUUUGUCGCUCUUUAAUAAGUUGGAAGGAAACG
rnacentral:misc_RNA from 1 species